rnacentral:rRNA from 1 species
UCGAGGAUCUUUUGCAAUGGGCGCAAGCCUGACAGAGCGACGCUGCGUGGAGGAUGAAGGCCUUCGGGUUGUAAACUCCUGUCAUUCGGGAACAAUGAUCUCCGUGUGAAUAGCACGGGGAAGUGAUAGUACCGGAAGAGGAAGCCACGGCUAACUCUGUGCCAGCAGCCGCGGUAAUACAGAGGUGGCGAGCGUUGUUCGGAUUUACUGGGCGUAAAGGGUGCGUAGGUGGCUUUGUGUGUCGGAUGUGAAAUGCCAUUGCUCAACGAUGGAACGGCAUUCGAAACUACAGGGCUUGAGUGCAGGAGGGGAGAGCGGAAUUCCUGGUGUAGCGGUGAAAUGUGUUGAUAUCAGGAGGAACACCGGUGGCGAAGGCGGCUCUCUGGAAUGCAACUGACACUGAGGCACGAAAGUUGGGGGAGCAAACAGG